CUUAUUGUCUCCAAGUGUAUUCUGGGUAAAACUUGUCACCAGGCGUCCACCAACGUCAUCAUCAGUCUCUUGGCAACAGAUGACAAACUAGCUAGAACAAUUUGCGGACCAAGUUAACAGGCGUGGAGCUCCAUGGAGCGGCAAAGUGAGAAGGACGGAAAGAAGAGAGCAAGGAAAAGUCAAAAACUGGACGCAUAUUUUGUUCGUCGUCUUGGAGAUGAAGCGGAGUUUUUGGUUGGCAGCGAUUCAGGUCCGCCAAAACUGCCAGCCCAGCCAGGGAGCCAGGAUAGUUACAGUUAUAGCCGCGGUUUGAGCCGAACAGUUCGGGUUAAGCGCGUUUUUGAGCCAAGACAGCGGUGUGGCGUUUAUAGUUAAGGUUUACAUUGGAGCCGCCUGGGAGAGCGGCGCGCGUCAUCAGCACCGAGUUGCAAAGAUCCAGAGGUGCACGAGGCGCUGCGACACGCUGCGCAUGCGGCGGGGUCGGCGCGUGCCGCUGCGUGUCCGCUUCAACGCGCACAACGAACUGAGCUCCGUGCUCAUGAUAAAUUAAAACAAAUUCAAUAAUUUCCAUUGGCAUGAUUUAUCGUUUCUCUUUUUAUUUCUCUCUCUUUCUGCCAAAAACUGUAUGAUAAAAGCUUUCAGGUUGGUGCUUUGCUCUCAACUAA